GAGGCACAUAGACGGCAGUCUCGACGGACUUAACUCAUUCCUCACGACUGAGAAGCGGUUCGUGGCGGACUGGUGAGUAACACGUAAGCAACCCGCCUAUCAGAGGGGAAUAACAGUGAGAAAUCAUCGCUAAUACCGCAUAUGCUAACAGUAUCGCAUGAUACAGUUAGGAAAGGAGCAAUCCGCUGAUAGAUGGGCUCGCGUCUGAUUAGCUAGUUGGUGGGGUAACGGCCUACCAAGGCGACGAUCAGUAGCCGGACUGAGAGGUUGAACGGCCACAUUGGGACUGAGAUACGGCCCAGACUCCUACGGGAGGCAGCAGUCGGGAAUAUUGCGCAAUGGAGGAAACUCUGACGCAGUGACGCCGCGUAUAGGAAGAAGGUUUUCGGAUUGUAAACUAUUGUCGUUAGGGAAGAUACAAGACAGUACCUAAGGAGGAAGCCCCGGCUAACUAUGUGCCAGCAGCCGCGGUAAUACGUAGGGGGCAAGCGUUAUCCGGAUUCACUGGGCGUAAAGGGAGCGCAGGCGGCACGGCAAGUCUGGUGUGAAAGCCCGGGGCCCAACCCCGGGACUGCAUUGGAAACUGCCGGGCUGGAGUGCCGGAGGGGUAAGCGGAAUUCCUGGUGUAGCGGUGAAAUGCGCAGAUAUCAGGAAGAACACCGGUGGCGGAGGCGGCUUACUGGACGGCAACUGACGCUGAGGCUCGAAAGCGUGGGGAGCAAACAGGAUUAGAUACCCUGGUAGUCCACGCCGUANACGAUGAUACCAGGNUGUCGGCGGGCAGGGCCCGCCGGUGCCGCAGCUAACGCAGUANGUAUUCCGCCUGGGGAGUACGUUCGCAAGAAUGAAACUCAAAGGAAUUGACGGGGGACCCGCACAAGCGGUGGAGCAUGUGGUUUA
rnacentral:rRNA from 1 species